CAUACAGAUUAUUUCUUGUCUGAAAGGUUGAUAAGAAAAUGGGAUCAGUUUCUUCUAAAUGGAACAGGAGAAGAGAUGGUUCCACUUCAGUACAAGUUCUGAACAGAGGUCCUCAACAGAACCUGGCCCAAGUUGGACCCAGCACUACACCAAUUCAUACUGCAAGUGGACAGAAUACUUCUGGAGGAAACAUCCAAAACACUGCCAGGCAUGGCACUGAACAAGGU